AAAGUUUCAAACUUUGAAGUUUAUACAUCUUCGUCUCAAGUUCUCCUCUCCCAGUGUGGCCCACAGACCCCUUUUAUUUUUUUCAUGAGACAGGGUCACUCUGUCACCCAGGCUGGAGUGCAGUGAUGUGAUCAUAGCUCACUGUAGUCUCAAACUCCUGGGCUCAAGCUAUACUCCUGCCUCAGCCUCCAGAGUAGCUGGGACUACAGUUGUGUGCCAGCUAAUUUUUUAUUUUUUGUAGAGAUGGGGUCUCCCUAUGUUGCCUAGGCUAGUCUCAAACUUCUGGCCUCAAGCUAUACUCCUGCCUCAGCCUCCAGAGUAGCUGGGACUACAGUUGUGUGCCAGCUAAUUUUUUAUUUUUUGUAGAGAUGGGGUCUCCCUAUAUUGCCUAGGCUGGUCUCAAACUUCUGGCCUCAAGCGAUCCUCCUGCCUUGGCCUCCCAAAGUGCUGGGAUUACAAGCAUAAGCCACUGUACCCAAGCUCCACAGAUCCCUCAUGUCUUAAUGUACUUUCCCUUUGGAAAUAUGGUCUCAGUUAGCAAGGUAAACUGCAGUCAACAGCCAGUUGACAAAAUGCUGGGGAAAAGGAUCACUGAAUGGGCCAAAAGAAGCUGGAUUUCAUCUCAUUCACAAGUUUAUCCAGAGCAGGCCUGCAGUAGGUCUAUAAGACAGGGCUUCUUGGUGGACACUUUGAGAAUCUUUCAGAGCCCAAAACAUUGAUACUCAGGGAAAAAGGCCAUCCUCCCACCGUGAAAUCCAGCCGGGUGUACUGGGUUCACAGGUGGGGGUAUGAGCCACACUUGGAGGUGGGGCAGCUGUAGAAAUGUGGGAAGCAAGGAUUUCCCUUGGCCUUGGGAUUUGUUCAAGGUGGGGCCUUUGUUUUCCCUCCAGGAAAUUAGUUCAGACUUUCUGGCUGGUAGCCUGGAAGAAGCCUGCAGACAUGGCCUUCCAACCAUGCAACCUGAAGAAGAAGGCGGAGAGGAAAGUUGGUGAGGUCCAUGACUCAGGAAUCCAUCAAAGAUGGAGUUAUGCUUUUGUUGUCCAGGCUAGAGUGUAAUGGCAGGAUUUUGGCUCACUGCAACCUCCACCUCUGGGGUUCAAAUGAUUCUCCUGACUCAGCCUCCCCAGUAGCUGGAGUUACAGGUGCCCGUCAACCAUACCUGGCUACUUUUUUGGAUUUUUAGUAGAGAUGGGGUUUCACUGUGUUGGCCAGGCUGGUCUCAAACUCUUGCCCUCAGGUGAUCCACCCACCUUGGCCUCCCAAAGUGCUGGGAUUACAGGUGUGAGCCACCGCACCAGCAAUAAUUUUUAAAGCUGCCAAUUUUCGGAUCAUGAACAGCACUCCCCAUUUUAAAAUAAAUAGAUGAUCAUAUAAAAUAAGAAAUUAUUGAAUGGGCAAAAACUGGAAGCAUUCCAUUUGAAAACUGGCACAAGACAGGGAUGCCCUCUCUCACCACUCCUAUU
rnacentral:lncRNA from 1 species